UACGGAGGGUGCAAGCGUUGUUCGGAUUUACUGGGCGUAAAGCGCGCGCAGGUGGAUGAACAAGUCGGAAGUGAAAUCUUGAGGCUCAACCUCGAGGCUGCUCCCGAAACUGUUCGUCGUAGGGACUGGUAGAGGCUGGUAGAAUUCCCGGUGUAGCGGUGGAAUGCGUAGAGAUCGGGAAGAACACCAGUGGCGAAGGCGGCUCACUGGCCCGAUACUGACGCUGAGGCACGAAAGCGUGGGAGCAACAGGG
rnacentral:rRNA from 1 species